GAUGAACGCUGGCGGCGUGCUUAACACAUGCAAGUCGAGCGAGUGAGUUCUUCGGAACGAUCUAGCGGCGGACGGGUGAGUAACACGUGGGCAACCUGCCUCAUAGAGGGGAAUAGCCUCCCGAAAGGGAGAUUAAUACCGCAUAACAUCAUUGAAGGGCAUCCUUCGAUGAUCAAAGGAGCAAUCCGCUAUGAGAUGGGCCCGCGGCGCAUUAGCUAGUUGGUGAGGUAACGGCUCACCAAGGCGACGAUGCGUAGCCGACCUGAGAGGGUGAUCGGCCACAUUGGGACUGAGACACGGCCCAGACUCCUACGGGAGGCAGCAGUGGGGAAUAUUGCACAAUGGGGGAAACCCUGAUGCAGCAACGCCGCGUGAGUGAUGACGGCCUUCGGGUCGUAAACUUCUUUUAUUUUGGCUGAGAGGCCAUUUUGAAUAAGCACCUGCUAACUCUGUGCCAGCAGCCGCCGUAA
rnacentral:rRNA from 1 species